UUGCCUUUCAAUGGAGUCCAGCCAAGUGGGGCAAAGUUCCCCAGGCUUAACCCACACCCCCAGCUGUGUUGGAAGGCUGCAGGUGGGGAAACGAGGGAGGGAAGGAGGGAAAGAGAGGAGGCUGGCUCAAAAAAGAAUGGCCAGUAUCCUGCAAACCCAUUGACUCAAAGGGAUUUGGGUAUGUGUUGCCUUCCCUCUGCUCCAUUGAUUCAAUGGUGUCUUGGUUGGGACUUAGUAAGAGGAUCUUGGCCAAGGGGUGGGUGAGAAUCUGGUUCUCCUUACUUGGCCGAAAGCCUGUUGUCUCGGUUCGCUGAAGCUUCGGGUUUCAGCCUGCAGGGCUCAAUAGGGAGUUUUCUCUCUGCCCUUCAGGGUUCAAGAUCCCACGACAUGUUUGGUGCCUGAGGCAGAAGACCCAACUUCCCACCCAGCCAUUCCCGGGGGAGCCAAAGCAUCAAGGUUUCAAAAAUCCGCCAAAUGUCAAUGCUGAGGAUAUUUUUUUUAAAAAAAUUGCAAUUUUGCAAAAAUGAAUAUAUUGCUGCUGCUUUUGCAUGAACCCAGCAGCCCUCUGCCUCACGUCAGGGCUGGCCCUGUUAUCCUUCGACUGAAUUACAAUGGGAGGGAUCCGGGGAAAGUCCUCAGCAGGGAUUUAGGGGAAGAGGCAGAAGGUAGGCUGAAAAAAGCCCUCUUGGUCCCUUGCUGGGUUCCCAUCAUCCUGCCGCCACACACUCCACAUGGCCAAAGAGAUCUCCCCUGGCACUGGACGAGGAGUUCCAGCUGUGACCAGUGGCUAAAUCCCUUGGCGGCUGCAGAAUGUCUGAAUGUCACCCAGAGACAGCGGUCAGCACCACCACCCUGCCUGCCGAUAGAGAAAGGAUGAAGCUCCCGUUCAAAGGCUGGCCGUGGUGACCGAUCCUUCAAGACCCUUAAAAAAGUUGCAUCCACUGUGCCUGACAGCGAGAACCAAGCCCACGAGGAGGCGAAAUUCAUGACGUCCGCUGGGAAACAUCAAUUCAGCCCCUGUUUUUGGAUGUCAAGCAUCGACAGGGAGGUAAGAAAGAAGUGACCUUUUUGGCCGGAUCUGCAGGGAGGGACGUGAGUUGCCGAUCAAGCGCGUGAUGGCUGGAAGGGGAACAGAAGCUUUGUAGAUAAAACACAC
rnacentral:lncRNA from 1 species